GACGAACGCUGGCGGCGUGCCUAAUACAUGCAAGUCGAACGCAGUGGGGACGGGUGAGUAACACGUGGGUAACCUCCCAUCAGAGGGGAUAACACUUGGAAACAGUUGCUAAACCUAUACUGAUGGAUGGACCCGCGGUGCAUUAGCUAGUUGGUGAGGUAACGGCUCACCAAGGCCACGAUUCAUAGCCGACUGGAGAGGGGGAUCGGCCAAACUGAGACGUAGACACGGCCCAGACUCCUACGGGAGGCAUCAGUAGGGAAUCUUCGGCAAUGGACGAAAGUCUGACCGAGCAACGCCGCGUGAGUGAAGAAGGUUUUCGGAUCGUAAAACUCUGUUGUUAGAGAAGCGGUAUCUAACCAGAAAGCCACGGCUAACUACGUGCCAGCAGCCGCGGUAAUAC
rnacentral:rRNA from 1 species